GCUCUGCGCGCGCGCGCCGCUUGCCAUGCGACGCCGCUAACGGUCGCCGGGGGAGCAGAGGUCCAGCUAGCACUGCGUUUAAUACAGAAAUGAAGAGCACGCAACGGGAUGCUUCGGGUUUAGAAGUAAAUUAUCUGCUGCACCGGAUCGCCGAGUUCACUGCAGAACGCAGUUGCUUGUCACAGAGCACUCUGACAAAAAGCAGCCUUUCCAGUGCUUUUCAUCGCUACCUCUUAGCUCCUUUUGUUAACCUAAUCUGUGCAAUAAUCAGGAACGAUUAAAUAAUGCAUAACU